UUGCCUGGAGCCCUGGUGUCGGCAAAAGCAAGAACCCCAGAGACAAGUGCCUGUUAUUUACAUGGCCAGUGCAGAUGGUGUGCCUAGUUAUCCUGGCUCCCUAAGGGUUUCUGGAACUUGCCCACCUUGGGAUAAUGGCAGGGAUGGUGGCAGUGACCUGGCGAAAGCAAUGUUGGCUAUGGCGCUGCAAGCUUCCACCCAGGCUGAGACACUCGCCCUACCGUGGUAGCUCUGACACUGGAGGUAACGCCUGGGCAACUCACUGGGAGCAGAUCGCGGGCUUAAAUAUGAAUAUGGAAGAGGUGACUGGGACACAAGAGGCAUGUGGGCGGAGGAGAGUUGCAUCAGAAGAAUGAUCAAGUUCUUUUGAGAAGAUGCUGCCAUGGAAGUACUUAUUUUUGAAAAAUGCAUGCUCACUGGGAGGGGUACAGAGUUAUGUCUUUUGCAUAAAAAGUUAAGGCUAUGAUCCGUAGUAACCACUCUGACAUAACAUCACCACCACUGCCUAUUUCUAACAUUGAAAGUGAUUACUAACACUGAGAAUCGACACGGAACAUGUACUACCAGUGUACAUUUCCAGUGCAGAGACGGAAGUUUAGAGGCGGUGGACACCUCUUCUGGCUAAUGGUAGGGGCUGUUUCUACGUAGUCGGAGUUCACUGAGAAUUAACAGGCAUUCAUCACUUCUACAGCAAACCCCAGGAUCCUGCUGUCUCCUAUUGCCCCUGCAUUCCAAAGUAAAAUGGAGCUUUAAUUGGAGCCCAACCUAGUCACCUGACUUGUACCUCUCUAGAUCCUGUUUACUCCUAGACAGACCCAAAAUAGCAGGAGAGUGUUAAUAAAGGCCGUCCUGAAAGCACACUGCUGCUGGCACACUCUGCCCACCCCUGCAGAGCUGUCUGGAGUGAGAUCACUGGGAAACACCAAGGUGUGCAGAAUAAGUGAUUAACCCUUACUUGCUUAGACUUCACAGACACAAGUCAUGCUCUGGUCACAAGGGAAGGACCCUUUUUGCCUGUCCUGCUAGCCUCAAUCUGCUCAGGAUGCAAUGCCUGAAGGCAUGCAAGGCUUAGGAGAACUCCCAAUGGUAUAAUAUGAUGGAUUUUGUAUGAACAGAUGCUGUUAGUACUUAAUGCUAACUCAGAAACAAUCGCAUCAAUUCCAAAGGAAUUGGCACCAUGGCUGUGAAAUGAAGAAAUCUCAACAACUACAGAGCAAGUGGAUUUGGGUAGGUGGUGGGCGCAUGGAGUGCCCAACCCCAAGGACCUGGCUGAAGCAUACAGCUAAGCAACUAUAGCAACAGAGCGAAGGAGGGAGCCCUAAUGUGCUGUUGGGGAUAGAACGGAUGGCUAAAAGGUACUCAUCUAAAAAAUUUUUGAAAGAAAAUCACAAUUUCUCAGGGGUGUGGGACCGCCUUGCAGUGCCAAUGGUCCUGGAUCACCAUUGCCCUGCAUGCCAGAGGGGCCUGGGGCCUUCAUCUUUGUUAUGGAAAUCAAAUAUCUAGCAAGGGAUUUGUGGAGGGCAGAGUGAAAACAAUGCAUUAGGAAGGACCCCCCCACCCCAAUUGCUCAGAUUCAACCCCUCAAGAGCUAGCCUUAAAAAAAAAUUAAGACCAAGAA